AAGGAUUGUAUCUUGUCGUCAAUUCUACGGCCCAGAUUUCCCCAUUCGCAAAAUUCCGCUUGAAUCCGACCUCCGCAACCGGUAAUGGUGGCACCAGCACUUGCCAGCCAGUCCCUCACAUCCGAUUCCUCCUCCACUCUUCCCAAAUCCUUCCACCAAAAAUUCACAGCGAAUCAAAGUCCGUACGGUCAAGGAUUUUGAAGGUGAUCGGCACCCUCCGAUCGCCGCCAUGUUCAAAACCGCAGCUUCGCGCCUUAGGGCUCUCAAGAUUUCGAUGGGGAUAUUAGGGUCGUAUAAGCGCGUUUAACAGGGGAGUGGCCAGAUUUUCAAGUUUGAAUGAUGUUGCAACGAAGCCGUCCUCCUCCUCCUCCUCCUCCUCCUCCUCUCCUUUCCGAGGUUUGUUUUGGCUGGCUGAUUGGGGAAAAGUCCAGGUCUAUGCCUCCAUUAGGCUUGCUUCUUUCAGGCAUCAACCUCCCACCUGCAUUGCCUGACCAUGUUCAACCAGUAGAUGUUAAGAUAACAACUCUCCCGAAUUGUGUCAAAAUAGUUUCCUUAAGGUCAGAGGAAACUCGUUGUGACCUUGCAUUUAAACUUCCUGGUGGCUGGCACAAUGAGAGGGAUGCAAUGACUCUGAAUACACUUCAGGCACUAAUGGGAGGUGGUGAAUCUUUUUCAGCCGGUGGACCUGGAAAAGGGAUGCACUCACGUCUAUAUUCCCGUGUGUUAAAUCGAUAUUCAGAAUUUCAUUCGAUUUUAGCAUUCAGUAGCAUCUACAACGAUACUGGCAUUUUCGGAAUCCAAGCUUCCACUGUAAGAAACUACCAUAUGUCAUGUGAAAAUGUGAAUAAGGAGAAUUUAUUUUCUGUUUAAACUAUACUGGGAGCUGUCUCUGGAUUUCAGUGUCCAGAUUUUUUUCGGAACAGCCAUUGGGAGACAAAUUCUGACGUACGGUGAUUGGAAACUGAGCCAUCUCUUGAAGGCUGUGGAUGAGGUUUCGUUGAAGGAUAUCCCUCCUAUUGGUUAAAAGCUUUUAUCUUCCCCUCUUACAAUGGCAUCAUAUGGUGAUUGCAGGUUAUCAUCUUACUGAGAAUCCUCUGUUCAUGUUACCGGAGUCCCAAGCUACGGUUCAGUCUGCGAAAAGUUCCAUUUAAAAUGAAUUUGCUUUCGUGUGCCAAACUGGGCAUUAAGCUGAUCUGUUGUCUUCGUUUUGCUUGGCAUCCACAUACGCUAGAGCUUGUAUAAGAACAUUUCGGAUGAAUGAGAAAAUAUACGUAAUCUUGAGUGUAAUUAACCCAA